rnacentral:misc_RNA from 1 species
GUUAGAAGCUCUAAAGGAGAUACAAAGUAGCGAAAUAUGUCACCCAUUAUAUAAUUAAUCUUGCUGAAUUAAUUAGUUUUACAUUCAAAGUUCAAUUUAUAACUCAACUCUUGGAGAGAAUAACAUUUAUUUUUACAUUGACCCGUGCACUUGCGCCUAGCGUGUAUCACCUAUAUUUAGCCCUUACUUUGUAUCUCCUUUAGAGCUUCUAACACAUUUUCCAUAGAUGGUCUCAU